GGGGGCUGGCGGCUGGGCUCUGGGGCUCUGGGGCUCUGCGCACUGACUUGGGGCCGGACGCUGGGAAGCGGGGAUUUGCCGGCCGAGGCCGGGACUUAGGGUCCCCUCCCGGGCGAGUCGCGGGGCGGGGGCGGGAAGGGGCGCCGCGCGGAGGAAGUGCCCUUUUGGCCGCAGCCAGAGCCGCGCCGCGGGUGCCGUGAUGUCGUCCCAGCCGGGGCUCGAGGAUGAGGGGGCGGGGGACGCGUGGCGGCCGCAGGAGCCGCCGGAUCAGGAGCUGCAGCGGGCCGGGAGCAGAAGCGGCGGUGGCACGGCGCGCAGCAUCUGCAGCAGCUCAAGCACCUGGAGUCCUUUUAUGAAAAACCUCCUCCUGGGCUUAUCAAGGAAGAUGAGGCUAAGCCAGAAGAUUGCGUACCAGGUGUACCAGGCAAUGAACACACCAGGGAAUUUCUGGCUCAUGCACCAACUAAAGGACUUUGGAUGCCACUGGGGAAAGAAGUCAGAGUUAUGCAGUGCACAUGAGGAUUUCAUGUAUGACAUCAUACAAGACAAUAAACAAUAUGAAAAGGAUGUAAGGAUACAGCAGUUAAAACAGUUACUGGAGGAUUCUACCUCAGAUGAAGAUGGGAGCAGCUCCAGUUCCUCUGAAGGUAAAGAGAAACACAAGAAAAAGAAGAGGAAAGAAAAGCGUAAGAAAAGGAAGAAAGAAAAGAAAAAGAAGAAAAAAACGGAAGCACACAUCUUCCAAGUCAAAUGAGAGUUCCGAGUCAGAGUGACAAGGAUGUGACUUGUUCAACGUUCUCUUCUCAAGAAUCAAAACACUGUGGCCAAGGAACAGAGGAAGAUGCAGUCAGAGAAAGUAGCAGGAUAGAGACACAGAGAGGAGGAUACGUGGGUCACAGCAGUGAGCUCCCACCCGCCUUCCAGUGAAGAUGUGACCCCAGGAGAGGGAAUAGCUCCUUCCAAGUGCUAGCUCUGGACAGCGGCUGAUUUUAGGCAGGACAGUUUCUUCGGUGUUGUCCUCCCUGCUGGUCACAUGAGUUUACGAUUCAUUUGAAAUACCUCCCACAGGGUGGCAGGACUGGGAGAAUCUUUGAGGCGUUUCUUCCAGGCCCUCCCACAGCUUGUGCCCUCCACAGUGUGGAAUUGAACACCUGGCCUCAUGUGAUCCUUCCACCUUGGCCUCCCAAAGCAUUGGGAUAACAGGUGAGAGCCACUGCUUGGCUAAAAGUAUACAUUUAUAUUCAUCUGACAUGAUUUAUUGAUUUGGGGGCUAGGGAGUUCUUAAAAUAACAAUAAAAAAUCUUGUGUGGCUAGCAUUCUACUUAACUUGCUUUCUACUGCCAGAGUCCCAUGAUUUUCACAGAGUGACUCAGAAAAGGUUUAGGAAUAUAGGGGGAUUUCUUUACUAGGUCAGGUACCCACAUCCCAAAAUCCAUCCCUCCCUUUCUUCCUCUUCCUGUUGCCUGACCACAGCCCAUCUGUGCUCUUGUAGCUGAG
rnacentral:lncRNA from 1 species